UACGUAGGUGGCAAGCGUUGUCCGGAUUUAUUGGGUUUAAAGGGUGCGUAGGCGGCCCUGUAAGUCAGUUGUGAAAUACGGCAGCUUAACUGUCGAGGUGCAAUUGAUACUGCAGGGCUUGAGUACUGAUGAGGUAGGCGGAAUGGACGGUGUAGCGGUGAAAUGCUUAGAGAUCGUCCAGAACACCGAUAGCGAAGGCAGCUUACUAGGCUGUAACUGACGCUGAGGCACGAAAGUGUGGGGAUCAAACAGG
rnacentral:rRNA from 1 species